rnacentral:rRNA from 1 species
CCUACGGGAGGCUGCAGUGGGGAAUAUUGCACAAUGGGGGGAACCCUGAUGCAGCAACGCCGCGUGAGUGAAGAAGUAUUUCGGUAUGUAAAGCUCUAUCAGCAGGGAAGAAGAUGACGGUACCUGAGUAAGAAGCCCCGGCUAACUACGUGCCAGCAGCCACGGUAAUACGUCGGGGCCAAGCGUUAGCCGGAGUUCCUGGGUGGAAAGGGAGCGGAGACGGCGAGGCAAGACGGGGGUGAAAGCCCCGGGCUCAACCCCGGGACUGCUUUGGACACUGGCUGGCUGGAGUGCUGGAGAGGCAAGCGGAAUUCCUAGUGUAGCGGUGAAAGGCGUAGAUAUUAGGAAGAACACCAGUGGCGAAGGCGGCUUGCUGGACAGUAACUGACGUUGAGGCUCGAAAGCGUGGGGAGCAAACAGGAUUAGAUACCCGAGUAGUC